UGAUCAUAAAGAAAAAUUCCUGUUAGGUUUUCCAUAUGCUACCUGACUAGCAGUUAACCUAUUGGGAACAUUU
rnacentral:snoRNA from 14 species